rnacentral:rRNA from 1 species
UACGUAGGGGGCAAGCGUUGUCCGGAAUCAUUGGGCGUAAAGGGCGCGUAGGCGGUCCCGUCAGUCCCUUGUGAAAUCCCCCGGCUCAACUGGGGAACUGCAAGGGAUACAGCGGGGCUUGAGUUCGGGAGAGGGAAGCGGAAUUCCGGGUGUAGCGGUGAAAUGCGCAGAUAUCAGGAGGAACACCGGUGGCGAAGGCGGGUCUCUGGGCCGAUACUGACGCUGAGGAGCGAAAGCGUGGGGAGCGAACAGG